UCGAGUACUCCUUACUGUUCAAAAUUAUUGAAAUUUAGAAUAAAAGUCUAAAAUCGCGAUUCAUAAUCUCUGGCUGGUGGCCACUGAGCGCUCCUUACUGGCUAUUGUCUAUCGCGUCUCGUCUCGAGUGACCGAGUCCCGAAUCCCAAGACAUUCCGGCACUCACUGGCUGCCCAUCCUGCCAUCCACACUCGAGAUUAAUGUCGCAUCGCCUUUCUAAUUCCCACCUACCCCAUCACGUUUGAGUGAGGAGCGAGGUCCGACAAUGGUUUUUUUCUUCUUUGAUUCUUUUUGAGUUCUACUUCCUCCUUUCCUUCUCUUCCUCUUGGUUUUUGCUCUUGGCCAACCCAGUGCCCAGUGUGGUUGUGCCCCCUUUUGCCUUUCCUCAUCAAUCGAGUGGCGAGCCGUUGACCACCCUCACCUCUCAAAGUCUCAGUCUCUGGCUCUUUGCCAUGUCCCAAUUUGACUGACUCUCCUCCCAUCUCACGUUUAGCUGUUUAUGGUAAACGCCCUAAAUGGAUUAGGGUUUCUCGCCCCUAUUCCAUCGGCAAGCGACCCCUUUCCUCUUUCAAUCUUACUUUUAGAGGAGUAAAUCUAUUCUUCCUCUAGAAUCUAGAUCUAAUCUUUCAUCUCAAAUCUUAAGUCUCUAAAAACCCCCAUCAUCAUCCUCAAACCUCAACUCCUUUCUCAUUUUUCUCUUUUAUCACUCAUUUAUAGUUUACUUAAUCUAUUGCAGUGUUGCCUCUUUGCAAAAUAGAAGAUCAAGGUUGAAGAAAAAAAAGGCUUAAGGCAAGAUAUUUCUACAAGAUGGAAUUCAACUUUUUUAAUACUAGAGAGUGGCCUAUUUUACCGCCGAGCCUUUCUUCAUUUGAAAUUGAGUGACUCUAAUUACAAGCAUUAUCCAUCUGAAUAGGAGUGGGGCAAAGUUGAGAAGAUUAGCAAGUUGUUGAAUGAGUUCUAUGAUGCUAUUUUAGUAUUCUCCGGAGUUAAAUGUCCUACAUCAAACUUAUAUUUUCUUGAUUGAGCUCACUUUAAGAUAAGAGAUGGAGAGUGUAGAUGCUUCAAUGCAAAGAAUAGCAUGGCAGUUGCAUAAAAAAAUUGAAAAGUAUUGGUUGGAUCAUAGCUUAAUCUUGGCCAUGAUAGUCAUUGUUGAUCCUUGACACAAAUAUCUGUUUGCGGAGUAUUGUUGUAGAGAUGGUUGUACCGAGAGCAUCGCAUCCGUGAUUGUAUGUUUUCUCUCUUUAAUUAGUAUAUGCUUGCUUCUUCUAAAGCUCCAACUACUAGCACAUCAACUCAUGGAGACAUGGAGAGUGGUACUUGUGAAACUUCUGAGCCAGAUGACGGAGGAUCUUCAUUACUAAGAUUCUAUCAUCUAGGUCAUUUACUUGGCGCAACCAGAAUAUGCACUGCAUAUAUACCAGAUCAGCCAUGGGACGGAAGGUUGAGGACCUUGCAAUGUUAGAAAAAUUCGGCUUACCAUAAUAAACAAUCUUCUUGAGUACCACCCUGAUCUAGUGAGAAGCUGGCAAUGGGCGAGGUUGUUGGAAUAAAACCUCCAGAGAAGAGGUUCUUUCUGAUAGUUGAAUAUAGUACCACAUUUUGUUGAGCCAAGCUUUGUUGAUACAAAGAAUCUACCUUACUGUCAUUUCUUGGUUCAGUGUUUGGAACUUUGUGUUAGUUUGGAUCUAAAUAUUUUGCGUUAUCCUUCAUUGGCAAAGUAUGUUAGCUUUCCUGCUAAAGUUCUGAAUUAAAACUUGAGGAAACCGAUGCUAUAAGAAGAUGGCCUACUGCUUACUAUCUUCAAGCUGCUGCUUUUCUCAGUCUUGGAAUGGAAACCGAUGCCCAAGAAUCACUCAAAGAUGGUGCUUCUCUAGAGACUGAAAGGGAUCAAAAAUACUGAAGUGUAAAGGUUUAUUGUAUCAUGCAAGAUGAUGGGAUCAAAAUUUGAAAUAUAUUCAUCAAAUGAAGUUAAUGAUACAACAUUUCAACACUACGUAGGCAAGUUUC